GACGAACGCUGGCGGCGUGCUUAACACAUGCAAGUCGAACGAUGAAGCUGGAGCUUGCUCCGGUGGAUUAGUGGCGAACGGGUGAGUAACACGUGAGCAAUCUGCCCUUGACUCUGGGAUAACUGCGGGAAACUGUAGCUAAUACCGGAUACGACACCUUCGGGCAUCCGAUGGGUGUGGAAAGAAUUUCGGUCAAGGAUGAGCUCGCGGCCUAUCAGCUAGUUGGUGAGGUAAUGGCUCACCAAGGCGACGACGGGUAGCCGGCCUGAGAGGGUGACCGGCCACACUGGGACUGAGACACGGCCCAGACUCCUACGGGAGGCAGCAGUGGGGAAUAUUGCACAAUGGGCGCAAGCCUGAUGCAGCAACGCCGCGUGAGGGAUGAAGGCCUUCGGGUUGUAAACCUCUUUUAGUUGGGAAGAAGCGAAAGUGACGGUACCAACAGAAAAAGCACCGGCUAACUACGUGCCAGCAGCCGCGGUAA
rnacentral:rRNA from 1 species